rnacentral:rRNA from 1 species
GACGAACGCUGGCGGCGUGCUUAACACAUGCAAGUCGAACGAAGUGGCGAACGGGUGAGUAAAGCGUAAUCAACCUGCCCUUCAGAGGGGGAAAACAGUUGGAAACGACUGCUAAUCCCGCAUACUGAAGGAGGGGAGUGCGUCUGAUUAGCUCGUUGGAGGGGUAACGGCCCACCAAGGCGAUGAUAAGUGGCCGGUCUGGGAGGAUGAACGGCCAAAUUGGGACUGAGAAACGGCCCAGAAUUCUAAGGGAGGCAGCAGUGGGGAAUCUUCCGAAAUGGACGAAAGUCUGACGGAGCAACGCCGCGUGAGUGAUGACGGCCUUCGGGUUGUAAAGCUCUGUUAAUCGGGACGCGGUACCGGAAUAGAAAGCCCCGGCUAACUACGUGCCAGCAGCCGCGGUAAUUC